GACGAACGCUGGCGGCGUGCUUAACACAUGCAAGUCGAACGGAAAGGCCCUGCUUUUGUGGGGUGCUCGAGUGGCGAACGGGUGAGUAACACGUGAGUAACCUGCCCUUGACUUUGGGAUAACUUCAGGAAACUGGGGCUAAUACCGGAUAGGAGCUCCUGCUGCAUGGUGGGGGUUGGAAAGUUUCGGCGGUUGGGGCUGGACUCGCGGCUUAUCAGCUUGUUGGUGGGGUAGUGGCUUACCAAGGCUUUGACGGGUAGCCGGCCUGAGAGGGUGACCGGCCACAUUGGGACUGAGAUACGGCCCAGACUCCUACGGGAGGCAGCAGUGGGGAAUAUUGCACAAUGGGCGGAAGCCUGAUGCAGCCACGCCGCGUGCGGGAUGACGGCCUUCGGGUUGUAAACCGCGUUCGCCGGUGACGAAGCGUGAGUGACGGUAAUGGGUAAAGAAGCACCGGCUAACUACGUG
rnacentral:rRNA from 1 species